UCCGAUUUGGCACCGGCGGUCUCCCAUGAGUCCCCGGCAUUACCCGCUGGCAACAUGGGACAGGGGUUGCGCUCGUUGCGCCACUUAAGGCAACACCUCACGGCACGAGCUGACGACAGCCAUGCAGCACCUGUGCGGGCCCCCGAAGGGGCACCGUGUUUCCACGGCGUCACCCCGCAUGUCAAGCCCUGGUAAGGUGGGGAUGACGUGUCGUUACCUUA
rnacentral:misc_RNA from 1 species